rnacentral:rRNA from 1 species
CGGGACGGGUGGGUAAUGUCUGGGAAACGUGCCCGGUGGAGGGGGAUAACUACUGGAAACGGUAGCUAAUACCGCAUAACGUCGCAAGACCAAGAGGGGGACCUUCGGGCCUCUUGCCAUCGGAUGUGCCCAGAUGGGAUUAGCUAGUAGGUGGGGUAACGGCUCACCUAGGCGACGAUCCCUAGCUGGUCUGAGAGGAUGACCAGCCACACUGGAACUGAGACACGGUCCAG